rnacentral:rRNA from 1 species
CCUACGGGAGGCAGCAGUGAGGAAUAUUGGUCAAUGGCCGGAAGGCUGAACCAGCCAAGCCGCGUGAAGGACGAAGGUGCCAUGCAUUGUAAACUUCUUUUGUCAAGGGAUAAAAUCAGGUUCGCGAGUCUGACCGAGGGUACCUGAAGAAAAAGCAUCGGCUAACUCCGUGCCAGCAGCCGCGGUAAUACGGAGGAUGCGAGCGUUAUCCGGAUUUAUUGGGUUUAAAGGGUGCGUAGGCUGUGGGGUAAGUUAGCGGUGAAAUGCCCCCGCUCAACGGGGUGAAGUGCCAUGGAUACUGCCUGGCUGGAAAGCGGAUGCGGUAGGAGGAAUGUGUGGUGUAGCGGUGAAAUGCAUAGAGAUCACACAGAACACCGAUUGCGAAGGCAUCUCACGAAUCCGCGAUUGACGCUGAUGCACGAAAGCGUGGGUAUCAAACAGGAUUAGAUACCCCUGUAGUC